rnacentral:lncRNA from 1 species
GCUGUGUCCUCACUCCGGUACUAUUCAACCUAUUUUCACCCAAGUAUACGACAUGCUGUGUUGGAUCUAGACCUGGGCAUCUACAUCAAAUACCAACUGGAUGGCUCACUAUUUGACCUUCGCCGCCUGACUGCAAAAACAAAGACAACAGAGAGACUCAUCCUGGAAGCUCUCUUUGCAGAUGACUGUGCUCUCAUGACCCACCAAGAAAAUCAUCUCCAAACCGUUGUGGACAGGUUCUCUACUGCAACAAAACUGUUUGGCCUGACUAUCAGCCUCAGCAAAACAGAGGUGCUGUUCCAACCUGCACCAGGGAGGCCAACGAACCAGCCGUGCAUUACAAUCGACGGCACGCAGCUUUCUAAAAUCAACACUUUCAAGUACCUGGGCAGCACCAUCGCCAACGACGGGUCCCUAGACCACGAGAUCAAUGCCAGGAUCCAAAAGGCCAGCCAGGCACUCGGGCGGCUGCGCUGCAAAGUCCUCCAACACAGCGGUGUAAGCACUGCGACGAAGCUCAAAGUGUAUAAUGCAGUGGUCCUCAGCUCGCUCCUGUAUGGUUGUGAGACAUGGACACUGUACUGGAAGCACAUGAAACAGCUGGAGCAAUUCCACCAACGCUCCCUCCGGUCAAUCAUGAGGAUCCAAUGGCAGGACCGAAUCACCAAUCAGGAAGUCCUCGACAGAGCCAACUCCACCAGCAUCGAAGUCCUGGUCCUCAAAACCCAGCUACGAUGGUCUGGACACGUCAUCCACAUGGACCCACAGCGAAUACCAAGACAGGUAUUCUAUGGUGAAUUGUCAGCUGGACUCACGAAACAAGGCCGACCAAAGAAAAGAUUCAAGGAUCAGCUAAAGUCCAACUUGAAGUGGGCUGGCAUUACACCAAAGCAACUAGAACUCGCUGCCUCUGACAGAAGCAGCUGGCGAACCCACAUUCACCUGGCCGCCGCCACCUUUGAAGAUGAACGACGUCGACGUCUUGCCGCUGCGCCGACACCAGGCCACAACCGCACCUCCCGUAACAACUGGCGUCCCAUGCCCCACGUGCCACAAACUGUGCGCCUCAGCCUUUGGACUUCAAAGCCACAUGAGGGUACACCGUAGAUGAAACUGCACAAAGACAAUUGUCAUUCUCGGACACCGAGAGAGAUAAUAAGGA